rnacentral:rRNA from 1 species
CCUACGGGAGGCAGCAGUGGGGAAUAUUGGGCAAUGGGCGCAAGCCUGACCCAGCAACGCCGCGUGAAGGAAGAAGGCUUUCGGGUUGUAAACUUCUUUUAAGAGGGAAGAGCAGAAGACGGUACCUCUUGAAUAAGCCACGGCUAACUACGUGCCAGCAGCCGCGGUAAUACGUAGGUGGCAAGCGUUGUCCGGAUUUAGUGGGUGUAAAGGGUGCGUAGGUGGUUUCUUAAGCCAGAGGUGAACGGCUACGGCUAAACCGUAGUAAGCCUUUGAAACUGGGGAACUUGAGUGCAGGAGAGGAGAGUGGAACUCCUUGUGUAGCGGUGAAAUGCGUAGAUAUUAGGAGGAACACCAGUGGCGAAGGCGGCUCUCUGGACUGUAACUGACACUGAGGCACGAAAGCGUGGGGAGCAAACAGGAUUAGAUACCCUUGUAGUC